ACGCUGGCGGCGUGCCUAAUACAUGCAAGUAGGACGCACAGUCUAUACCGUAGCUUGCUACACCAUAGGCUGUGAGUUGCGAACGGGUGAGUAACGCGUAGGUAACCUGCCUAUUAGAGGGGGAUAACUAUUGGAAACGAUAGCUAAUACCGCAUAACAGUAUGUAACACAUGUUAGAUGCUUGAAAGAUGCAAUUGCAUCGCUAGUAGAUGGACCUGCGUUGUAUUAGCUAGUAGGUAGGGUAAAGGCCUACCUAGGCAACGAUACAUAGCCGACCUGAGAGGGUGAUCGGCCACACUGGGACUGAGACACGGCCCAGACUCCUACGGGAGGCAGCAGUAGGGAAUCUUCGGCAAUGGGGGGAACCCUGACCGAGCAACGCCGCGUGAGUGAAGAAGGUUUUCGGAUCGUAAAGCUCUGUUGUUAAGGAAGAACGAGUGUGAGAAUGGAAAGUUCAUACUGUGACGGUACUUAACCAGAAAGGGACGGCUAACUACGUGCCAGCAGCCGCGGUAAUACGUAGGUCCCGAGCGUUGUCCGGAUUUAUUGGGCGUAAAGCGAGCGCAGGCGGUUAGAAAAGUCUGAAGUGAAAGGCAGUGGCUCAACCAUUGUAGGCUUUGGAAACUGUUUAACUUGAGUGCAGAAGGGGAGAGUGGAAUUCCAUGUGUAGCGGUGAAAUGCGUAGAUAUAUGGAGGAACACCGGUGGCGAAAGCGGCUCUCUGGUCUGUAACUGACGCUGAGGCUCGAAAGCGUGGGGAGCGAACAGGAUUAGAUACCCUGGUAGUCCACGCCGUAAACGAUGAGUGCUAGGUGUUGGGUCCUUUCCGGGGCUCAGUGCCGCAGCUAACGCAUUAAGCACUCCGCCUGGGGAGUACGACCGCAAGGUUGAAACUCAAAGGAAUUGACGGG
rnacentral:rRNA from 1 species